rnacentral:antisense_RNA from 1 species
GGAUCAUCGCCAUGGUCCUGCAAUCCUAGGAGUCGGGCAGGGCCGAACCUGCCUGAAGAAACCUCAAGCGGAGAUUCAAGGAAGCACCACGUGAUCCCUAAGGAUCCCAACGAUGCGUCCGACAUGCAUGAACGGUGUGAGGGUGCGUCUCCCUGACAGCUGUCCCCGCUGGGAUUUCGAGGAAUUAUCCGAUGAAAAGUAGAAGAGGUUGAAUGACUUUCUGUGGCCUUUUCUUCACAGGGCUCACCUGAAACUUCAUGUACCAUUGCACUUCCUGAGAAGCUGUCCCCAAUCCCAGGCUCCUAGCAAUGCUGUUCCAGUAAUCUCUCUUCUGUAAGACAGCCACUCCACCCACUGCAGUCUACAAGGAAAGCCUCCGUAGCUCUGGCUAUAGCAAGGUACCGGAUGCCAGUCCAGGCACACAGAGACAUCACUCUGAACUGGUACAUUCCGGGAAAUCCCAAGGUGAACUUGACUAUGAUCAUCUUCUCUCAUUCCUGGGCAAGAGGGUUGUAGAAGGCAGAAUAAAGGCCCCCCAGACAUGUCCACAGCCUAAUCCCUGAAACAGUAAUGGUACUGACUCAAUGUUAAAGAAAAGCUUGCUUGCUUAAAUAUAAUUAUUACUUUGCUUGACUUUGUAGAUUAUUCAGUAAGAACAGUCUCAGGAAAACAGGACCUUCAACAGAGAUAAGAGAAUUAAAAUACGCAGACUAACAACUCUGGGAAUGGGCUGACCAGCCUGAUAAGAAUAGGCUGACG